GGUUUUACAACGUGUGCGGCUUCAGCGACGCCAGUGCAAACCGCGUACCAACUAUAGCAGAGUAGGUAGCAUUAAUCAAACAGCACCUUACCGCCUGCUGGCCAGCGCAAUGUCUUGCUUCCUGUAUGUAAAUUCAUUGUAUUAGCGAAACUCGUAUAUGGCCAGUAUUCUUGUGCUAAAUGUAGCGAUGAUGACUGAAGCGGCGAUGACAUGACAACGAAGACCGUCGCGUGACAAUGACGAGGACAACAAGAGCCGGCUCACGCGCAGCGCGGGGUUGACGCUUCCUACUGCAGUGUACUCAGAUUGACUGAUGAUGAAGGUCGAGCCACUUCAUUUAGUGAACCACGAAACACCUGUCAUAUGGAGUUAAAGCGGAACGUUGGUCUAGAGGAAACACCUUUCUCAUUAAAAAUAAAAGCACAAAUUUGGAAUAAAAAAAAUU
rnacentral:lncRNA from 1 species